rnacentral:rRNA from 1 species
UACGAAGGGAUCUAGCGUUGUUCGGAUUUACUGGGCGUAAAGGGCGCGUAGGCGGUCUAAUAAGUAGGGUGUGAAAGCCCCAGGCUCAACCUGGGAAUAGCAUCCUAAACUAUUAGGCUUGAGUGUUGGAGAGGUAAGUAGAAUUCCCAGUGUAGAGGUGAAAUUCGUAGAUAUUGGGAAGAAUACCAGUGGCGAAGGCGACUUACUGGACAACAACUGACGCUGAGGCGCGAAAGCGUGGGGAGCAAAC